UUACAAAAAUAUAUGAAUACAUUCGUGGAAUAAAACGAGACAGUGAAUACGAUGGAAUACAUAGAAUACAACGAGAGACGUUGAAAUACAAUGAAAAAAGAUAACGAAUACAAUAAAAUACAUGAAAAUACAACGAGAUACAUUGAAAUACAUUGAAAUAUAUUAACAGAAAAUUGAAGUUGCUCAGCCGCAAACUCUGUUGUCUUCAUUCAAGAACAACCCUAAUGUCAUCUCGUCGAGAGGGCUGCGAUUCUGAAAACACCAAAUUCGUGCCAGCACACUAAAUCAUGUCAAGGAUAUGACUACAAAUAUAUUCGUGUUUAUCGCCAAUGACUUAAUUUCAUUUCACAUAACUGGAAAAACUCCAUGAUUACUAUCAAUUCAUCUUUUUGUUGUUCUACAUCUUUUUGGCUAACUGGGAGGUGUGAAAGUAACUCUUUAAACAUUGGCCCUCUAAUUCUGAGGUGGAAG
rnacentral:lncRNA from 1 species